rnacentral:rRNA from 1 species
GACGAACGCUGGCGGCGUGCUUAACACAUGCAAGUCGAACGAAGUGGCGAACGGGUGAGUAACGCGUAAUCAACCUGCCCUUCAGAGGGGGACAACAGUUGGAAACGACUGCUAAUACCGCAUACUUAAGGAGGGGAUUGCGUCUGAUUAGCUAGUUGGAGGGGUAACGGCCCACAAAGACGAUGAUCAGCAGUCGGUCUGAGAGGAAGAACGUCCACAUUGGGACUGAGAAACGGCCCAGACUCAUACGGGAUGCAGCAGUGGGGAAUCUUCCGAAAUGGACGAAAGUCUAACGGAACAAAGACGCGUGAGUGAUGACGGCCUUCGGGUUGUAAAGCUCUGUUAAUCAGGACGCGGUACCGGAAUAGAAAGCCACGGCUAACUACGUGCCAGCAGACGCGGUAAUUC